UGGAAAUGAUGAUGACUGUGUCUGAUUACCCUUGAUGAAAAAAUGUUCUCUAGAUAGUCAAGUACUGAUCCAG